rnacentral:rRNA from 1 species
CAGCCGCCGCGGGAAUACGGAGGGAGCUAGCGUUGUUCGGAAUUACUGGGCGUAAAGCGCGCGUAGGCGGUUACUCAAGUCAGAGGUGAAAGCCCGGGGCUCAACCCCGGAACUGCCUUUGAAACUAGGUGACUAGAAUCUUGGAGAGGUCAGUGGAAUUCCGAGUGUAGAGGUGAAAUUCGUAGAUAUUCGGAAGAACACCAGUGGCGAAGGCGACUGACUGGACAAGUAUUGACGCUGAGGUGCGAAAGCGUGGGGAGCAAACAGGAUUAGAUACCCCCGUAGUCCCUGUCUCUUAUAA